ensembl:lncRNA
CCAGACCACUGGAAGACUCCCGCAGGAGUCUGGCACCCCGUGGGUGCUCACUGCACUCCCGGGGAGCCACUGUUUUGGUCAGGUCGGUUCUGGGAUUCUGCGUAGGGUGCAGGGUGGUCAUUGGAGAAAGGUCAGCCCUGCCUUCUGCUGCUGCAUCAGUCCAGUCCUCUGCCUCCCUUGGGGGGGCCAACAGGCCUUCUCACCCAUGCCCUGUCACCUGCUGGCCACAGCCUUCCCUUGGCAGCUCCUACCUACCGUCAGGUGGCAGAAAACCCCACAGAUUGAAGAAAGCUUCUCCACCUUUGGGAGCAACUCGACCCUGGAGUCCCAAGUCCCCAGUUUCCCUGAGAGACGGGACUGGGCUACCCCUCCUUGCAAGGCAGUGUGGUGUAGUAGAGGAGCCCACUAAGCUCCAGGGCCUGUGCUGGGUGCUAAUGUGGCAAGGAUGAGAGGAAGAAGACCUGGUCCCCGUGGUCCCCGCCCUCGCAGAGACAGGCGAGUGUGGCCUGUGCUGGAGAAGGAUGUGACCACGCCUGUGAUUGUGCAGUCUCCUCCUCAGAACUCUGGGAGUGUUUUUAAGGACCUUUUCUCACCUCAUUGCUCCAAGUGUGCAGCUUUUCCUGUGUGCCCCAGCGGGAGAGCAUGUGGCCUCCACCCGGACACCUGUAGUCUUUGUGUUUCUCUUCCACGGAGUAAGUGCGUAGUUGGUGACACCACGUGCUAAUGUCUCAUACUGCUGUGACGUGUACAUGUCAUAGCCGCGCCGCAAGCUCCUGGAUCAGGCCCAGCCGGCAUCCCUCAAGUGCCCAGCCUUGUACCUGGACCAGCAGGGUCUGGACCUUGCUCACGGGGUCCCUCAUCACAGACUGCGUGAGAAGUACUGCAGUGGGGAUGGGACCCUCGGGGGUAGAGAAGGAAGUCAUCUCUAGCAUUGAGAGAACUACGAACAAAACGUCAUGAAAGUCAGAAGGGCGAGCUUGCUGCCGACCAGCGGUGAUGAGCAGGGACCCUAGCCUGAGGAUGCGGAGUGAAGAGGUCCAAAGGCAUCUGACCCAGAGAGCAGAGAGUAAGCAAAGAGUGGCCGUGUGUGUCCCACGGCUCAGGCUGGACUCCACACCGUCACUGUCACUGGCUCAGGGCCCAUGUGAGAAGACAGCCCUGUCACAGGGGGAAUACCCAGGUCGCUUGGUGCCAGGAAGUCUGGUGUGUGGUGCCAGCUGUUUGCAGGAGUAGACUGGGAACACCAGCUGCCUGGCAACUGGAGAUCCAGGCCCGGGAAAGCUGCAGAGAAACCGCCUGUCCCCAGGGAGGCGAGCCUGGGGUGCCUCUUGCGUUGGAAGAGGAGCUCCAGGUCCCAGCUGGCUCCAGGUCCAAGCAACACAGAGUGAGCCUGUGUUUGUAGAUUACCUGCUCCUUCACCGUAAAGACACAGUGAGAACAUCAGCGCCCUGAAGGCAGGCGCCAGCUCUGUGCUGCUCACCCUUUAGUCCCCAGAGCCCAGCACAGAUCUGCCGCUUUGAAGUGCGUCCUGGGAGUGAAUGGAAGGAUGGAGUUUUAGCUGCAACUCUUUCACGAUCAGACUGGGAAACCUUGGCUCUAUCUCCUAAUUUUCCGUUGCCACCGUUUUCCUCUUAUGACAGAGGUGGGCCCAAAUAUCUCUGCUUCCAAUCUCUCCGGACCUCUGAGGAGAGACGGUAGUUCUUCGCUGUGGUGUUAUGAGGCUCUGACUCGUUGUUUAGACCACUGGAAAGCCUUGGUUUCUUCUGACGUUGGGGCUGUUCGUCGUUGCAGACUUUGUUCUGUGCAGAUCUGCACACCAAGUUGUGCCUGAUCUGCACGGGGCCUGGCAGAGGAGCCGGCCUGAAACCCAGCGUUACUGGUACCUUAGUCAAGCCCUGUGCCUGCAGGACCCUGCGCUGUCCCCAGGCUCCAUCUCCUGGGGCACAGCCUUGGAACCAACACAAAGCCAGCACAGCCCUGCCUGUGGGUCUCUUUCCUCAGAGCCCCAAAGACAGGCUUCUCUGCCAUCUUGUGUGCCUUUUCAGCAGUUAGAUUUUCCCUUUUCCGAUGUCUGAAGAAGGGAAGUCUGCUUUCUCUCCUCACCCUGCUACUCUCUGCUCCCUCUGUGGGCUCUGGGGCACGGUGCCAAUCUGUAAA